rnacentral:rRNA from 1 species
UUAAUUGAAGAGUUUGAUCAUGGCUCAGAUUGAACGCUGGCGGCAGGCCUAACACAUGCAAGUCGGGCGGUAACAGGGAGAAGCUUGCUUCUCUGCUGACGAGCGGCGGACGGGUGAGUAAUGUAUGGGGAUCUGCCUGAUGGCGGGGGAUAACUACUGGAAACGGUAGCUAAUACCGCAUAAUGUCUUCGGACCAAAGCGGGGGACCUCCGGGCCUCGCGCCAUCAGAUGAACCCAUAUGGGAUUAGCUAGUAGGUAAGGUAACGGCUUACCUAGGCGACGAUCCCUAGCUGGUCUGAGAGGAUGAUCAGCCACACUGGGACUGAGACACGG